rnacentral:rRNA from 1 species
CCUACGGGAGGCAGCAGUGAGGAAUAUUGGUCAAUGGCCGGAAGGCUGAACCAGCCAUGCCGCGUGAAGGUCAGUGCCCUAUGGGCGUUAAACUUCUUUUGUGCGGGAGCAAUAAUGGUCACGUGUGGCCAGACGAGAGUACCGUACGAAUAAGCAUCGGCUAACUCCGUGCCAGCAGCCGCGGUAAUACGGGGGAUGCAAGCGUUAUCCGGAUUUAUUGGGUUUAAAGGGUGCGUAGGCUGUGAGGUAAGUCAGCGGUGAAAUGCCCCCGCUCAACGGGGUGAAGUGCCAUUGAUACUGCCUUGCUGGAAUGCGGAUGCGGUGGGAGGAAUGUGUGGUGUAGCGGUGAAAUGCAUAGAUAUCACACAGAACACCGAUUGCGAAGGCAGCUCACGAAUCCGCGAUUGACGCUGAUGCACGAAAGCGUGGGUAUCAAACAGGAGUAGAUACCCCAGUAGUC